CAAACCCUAAAAAAUAUGGAAAGAAAAAGCCAGACUCCCAUCCCGCCUUCGCACACCCAUUUCGCGUCAGGACUCCAAUCCCCGUCCUCGCCUCUUUCUCAUGCCACCACCACCUUAAAUGAAAAAAUUAAAUUCAUUUUGGUAUUCCUCAUCUCACGGGCUUCUCAAUGAACCGAUUGGAUUUCUGUUUCAAGCUAUCUCGCCGUCGACCACUACCUCUCCUUCUCCGACAACUAACGUAUGAAAAUGGUUUAAUGUGGAAUUUGUUGAUUUGAGUUUGAAUGGUAUGUAUCCAGAAAUUUGUCGCUUCGCCGAUAUCUGCAAGAGUUAAAUUGAUGAAAAGAAAAUUCAAAUUACAUGGUAUGGAUUUUAUGGUGAUAUUAUGACAUAGAGCGAGAAGUAUCGCUGGAUGGGUCCGAAACGUUAUGAUUAUGCUAGAACAAUGGUGUUUUUAAGGCACAGUUUAUUGUUGUAACACUACAGGAAGGCAUGUUCAACAAUCCAUUUAUGUCGG